GUGCAGCAGGCGAGAAAACUUCACACUGUGCGAAAGCACGAUGAGGGAAUCCCAAGUGCUUGCACGUAAGUGUAAGCUGUUUCUCUGUUUAAAACGCAGAGAGAGUAAGGGCUGGGUAAGACGGGUGCCAGCCGCCGCGGUAAUACCUGCAGCUCAAGUGGUGACCGUUAUUAUUGGGCCUAAAACGUCCGUAGCCGGUUUAAUAAAUGCCUGGGUAAAUCGUGUAGCUUAACUAUACGAAUUCCGGGUAGACUGUUAAACUCGAGACCGGGAGAAGUUAGAGGUACUCCUGGGGUAGAGGUGAAAUUCUGUAAUCCUAGGGGGACCACCAGUGGCGAAGGCGUCUAACUAGAACGGGUCUGACGGUGAGGGACGAAGCCCUGGGGCGCAAACGGGGAUUAGAUACCCGGGUAGU
rnacentral:rRNA from 1 species